UAUUUACUUACUCUUUUGCACACCAAUAUCUCUACCUGUACAUGACCAUCUGAUCAUUUAUCACUCCAGUGUUAAUCUGCAAAAUUGUAAUUAUUCGCCUACCUCCUCAUGCCUUUUGCACACAUUGUAUAUAGACUCCCCCCUUUGUUUUCUACUGUGUUAUUGACUUGUUAAUUGUUUAUUCCAUGUGUAACUCUGUGUUGUCUGCUCACACUGCUAUGCUUUAUCUUGGCCAGGUCGCAGUUGUAAAUGAGAACUUGUUCUCAACUAGCCUACCUGGUUAAAUAAAGGUGAAAUAAAAAAAUAUAUAUAUUUUUUAAAGAGCUGGUUGGGGUCAGAUUUGAUUGGGGUCAGAGGUGGUUGGGGUCAGAGAGGGUUGGGGUCAGAAGUGGUUGGGGUCAGAGAUGGUUGGGGUCAGAGAUGGUUGGGGGCAGAUAUGGUUGGGGUCAGAUAGGGUUGGGGUCAGAGGUGGUUGGGGUCAGAUGUGGUUGGGGUCAGAGAUGAUUGGGGGCAGAUAUGGUUGGGGUCAGAUAUGAUUGGGGUCAGAUAUGGUUGGGGUCAGAUGUAGUUGGGGUCAGAGAUGGUUGGGGUCAGAUAUGGUUGGGGUCAGAGUAGGUUGGGGUCAGAGAUGAUUGGGGUCAGAGAUGGUUGGGGCCAGAGGUGGUUGGGGUCAGAUAUGGUUGGGGUCAGAGUAGGUUGGGGUCAGAGUUGAUUGGGGGCAGAUAUGGCUGGGGUCAGAAGUGGUUGGGGUCAGAGAAGGUUGGGGUCAGAGAUUUUUGGUGCCAGAGGUGGUUGGGGCCAGAGGUGGUUGGGGUCAGAGGUGGUUGGGGUCAGAUAUGGUUGGGGUCAGUUCAGGUUGGGGUCAGAGAAGGUUUGAGUCAGAGGUGGUUGGGGUCAGAGCUGGUUGGGGGCCGAUCUGGUUGGGGUCCGAUCUCGUUGGGGUCCAAUAUGGUUGGGGUCCGAUCUGGUUGGGGUCAG
ensembl:lncRNA